CUGGCCGUGUCCUUAGUAUCCAUUCAAAUAGGCAUAAUCUCAGCACAGCAGCAGCAGGGACUUACACAAUAUUAGGUAGGAAAUUAAUCUUGAGACGAGACCAACCUGCAAAAAGCAGUGCGGUAUCAGUCAAGAUGCGGCAUGCUGUCCGCUGCUGCUGCUGUGUGAGAAUGUUGGGGGAUCCUUGCAGGCGCUGACUUUUAUCCACGUCGAAUGAUGGUCACAGCGCCGAAGAUGGCCCAAUGGUGUUCCAGGUGAUCACACUUUAUCGUCUGCACGUAGAAAUCCAACAUGACCAGGAGGCAGUAACGUAUUAUCUGCAAAAAGCAGUGUGAUAUCAGUCAAGGCGCUGCUGCUGCUGCUGUGCGAGAAUGUUGGGGGAUCCCUGCAGCUGCUGACUUUUAUGCUCGUUGAACGAUAGUCACAGCACCGAACAUUGCCCAGGGGCAUUCCAGGCAAUCACACUUUAUCGUCUGCACGUAGAAAUCCAACAUGACCAGGAGGCAGUAACGUAUUAUCUCCAAAAAGCAGUGCUGUGUCAGUCAAGGUGCUGCGUGCCGUCCACUGCUGCUGCUGUGCGAGAAUGUUGGGGGAUCCUUGCAGGUGCUGACUUUUAUGGUCGUCGAACGAUAGUCACAGCGCUGGACAUGGCCCAGGGACGUUCCAGGCGAUCACGCUUUAUCGUCUGCACGUAGAAAUCCAACAUGAACAGGUGGCAGGAACGUAUUAUCUGCAAAAAGCAGUGCGGUAUCAGUCAAGGCGCUGCUGCUGCUGUGCGAGAAUGUUGGGGGAUCCCUGCAGGUGCUGACUUUUAUGCUCGUCGAACGAUAGUCACAGCGCUGGACAUGGCCCAGGGACCUUCCAGGCGAUCACGCUUUAUCGUCU